AAAUGUAACGUUAAACGAGUUAGCAUUUUUGAGUUUUAUAAUCAAAAUCAUAAAAUUAUAACUCAAACCCCCCAAAAAAAAAAGAAAAAAAGAAAAGAAAAGAAGAAGCAGUUCUAGUUUGAAAAAUCUACUUUGAAUAAAAUAAUUCAUAAUUUUAAAAAAAUAAUUCAUAUCUGCAUGUUUCACCUUGUUCUCAUGGGUUAAAGAUUUUGUGUGGUUUAAUUUUGAGAAGUAUGGUGGAUAGAAAAAAUAUUUUUUUAAUAAUUGGAAAAAAUGAG
rnacentral:lncRNA from 1 species